rnacentral:rRNA from 1 species
GACGAACGCUGGCGGCGUGCUUAACACAUGCAAGUCGAACGAUGAAGCCGGAGCUUGCUCUGGUGAAUUAGUGGCGAACGGGUGAGUAACACGUGAGUAACCUGCCCUUGACUCUGGGAUAACUGCGGGAAACUGUAGCUAAUACCGGAUACGACCCUCGGAGGCAUCUCCUGGGGGUGGAAAGAAUUUCGGUCAAGGAUGGACUCGCGGCCUAUCAGCUAGUUGGUGAGGUAGAGGCUAACCAAGGCGACGACGGGUAGCCGGCCUGAGAGGGUGACCGGCCACACUGGGACUGAGACACGGCCCAGACCCCUACGGGAGGCAGCAGUGGGGAAUAUUGCACAAUGGGCGCAAGCCUGAUGCAGCAACGCCGCGUGAGGGAUGACGGCCUUCGGGUUGUAAACCUCUUUUAGCAGGGAAGAAGCGAAAGUGACGGUACCUGCAGAAAAAGCACCGGCUAACUACGUGCCAGCCGCCGCAGUAA